rnacentral:rRNA from 1 species
AGAUCAAGACCAACCGGUUUCGUUCCCUCGGGUUCGUGCCGUCGGAUUGAUGACUCUGGAUAACCUUCGCCGAUCGUAUGGCCCUGCGCCGACGACGCAUCUUUCAAAUGUCUGCCCUAUCAACUUUCGUUGGUAGGUGAUUUGCCUACCAAGGUGUUUACGGGUAACGGGGGAUCAGGGUUCGAUCCCGGAGAGGGAGCAUGAGAAACGGCUACCACAUCCAAGGAAGGCAGCAGGCGCGCAAAUUACCCACUCUUAGCACGAGGAGGUAGUGACNAAAAAUAACAAUACGGGACUCUUUCGAGGCCCCGUAAUUGGAAUGAGUACACUCUAAACCCGUUAACGAGGAUCUAUUGGAGGGCAAGUCUGGUGCCAGCAG